AGCAACAGUAUCAACUGUAGUACCACCAGCAACAAUAUCUGCAGGACCAUCAGCAUCGCAUCAAGAAUUCCUGCAAUAUCGCUCCCGGCACUUAGGUCCAAUAUCUCCAAGAGCUUUUUACAGGUGGAGUCAAUAUGGGGGAGAUGAUCCCUCCUUUAGAUGGGGGAGACAAGCCCCAUAUGACACCACUGGUAGAAGGAGGGGUGCUGGAAAGCGGUUUAACUCUUUUAAUUUCUACCAGUAGCUUUUUUAAACUACUGGUAGAAUUAUCUUCUUUUUUAUUUAUAAAAAAAAAUGACUUUUUAAAAAAAUGUUUUUUUUAAUUU
rnacentral:lncRNA from 1 species